CUCAGCGCAGUCGGGCAACACUGACGUACACUCUCAAAACCAGGGACACGCGCUGUAAAUCGCUUCGUUCGAGACUGCCGCUGGAAAGGUCUUCAAGCCCAAGCCAUCUUCAAGACCUGGAUCGGCAGGGACGAAGCAGGCCUCGACCACUGCCGCCGCAGGAUCAUCCGGGAAAGAGAACAGGCCCCCCAAGAGCGCCGUGGCGGGAGCAGCGACGCCCCUGCAGCGAGGAAGUUCGCGUGUGGCUUCGAGGUCCUGCGUGAAGCAACUCU